GAGCAUAUGGUGUUCAUUGGUUA
rnacentral:siRNA from 1 species